rnacentral:rRNA from 1 species
CAUCCUGGCACCGAGCUAUCUUUCCGGUUCACUACUAAACCAGUAUUUUUGCCGCUGUGGUGUUUCACUUUCAGUACCGAGUUCGGAAUGGUUCGGUGUGGGUCCACCACGCCAUUGGCACCAG